GGUAGUGGCAACCUUCACACCAGCUCCUGCUAGAGGGAGGGAGGGAAAGGUGGGUAGUGGCAACCUUCACACCAGCUCCUGCUAGGGGGUAGUGGCAACCUUCACACCUGCUAGAGGGAGGGAGGGAAAGGUGGGUAGUGGCAACCUUCACACCAGCUCCUGCUAGGGGGUAGUGGCAACCUUCACACCAGCUCCUGCUAGAGGGAGGGAAGGGUGGGUAGUGGCAACCUUCACACCAGCUCCUGUUAGGGGGGGGUAGUGGCAACCUUCACACCAGCUCUUGCUAGAGGGAGGGAGGAGUAGUGGCAACCUUCACACCAGCUCUUGCUAGAGGGAGGGGGGUAGUGGCAACCUUCACACCAGCUCCUGCCAGAGGGAGGGAGGGACGGGUAGUGGCAACCUUCACACCAGCUCUUGCUAGAGGGAGGGGGUAGUGGCAACCUUCACACCAGCUCCUGCCAGAGGGAGGUAGGGACUGGUAGUGGCAACCUUCACACCAGUUCCUGCUAGAGGGAGGGAGGGAAAGGUGGGUAGUGGCAACCUUCACACCAGCUCCUGCUAGGGGGUAGUGGCAACCUUCACACCAGCUCCUGUUAGGGGGUAGUGGCAACCUUCACACCAGCUCCUGUUAGGGGGGGGGGGGUAGUGGCAACCUUCACACCAGCUCUUGCUAGAGGGAGGGAGGGACGGGUAGUGGCAACCUUCACACCAGCUCCUGCCGGAGGGAGGGAGGGAGGGACGGGUAGUGGCAACCUUCACACCAGUUCCUGCUAGAGGGAGGGAGGGAGGGACGGGUAGUGGCAACCUUCACACCAGUUCCUGCUAGAGGGAGGGAGGGAGGGGUAGUGGCAACCUUCAGUGUAGUGGUAGGAGGAGGAGAACAAGGGCUAUUCUGAGCACUAUAGAGAAAGGGAGAAGGAGGAGGAUAGAGGUAUGGAGGAAGGUGGAUUAAAGGGUAUAUUUUAAGCACUACAGGGUUGGAGGGAGGGGGUUAUUCUAAGUACUUCAGAUAGACAUCUACUGUACACACAGGUACAGUACACUGGGAUAGGUCUAUAGACCUGCUAUAAAAACACUGUAUAAAGGAGGGAUCACAGGUUCAGGGAGAAGGAGAGGAUGAGGAGGAUGACUCACUGCGCUGGACAGUAGACUCCUAGUCGUACUGAAGAGGAGGAUUGUGGGGGUGAAUAAGCUCCGAUGUCCAGGAGGAAUACAAGACAAACAUGAAUACAGUAACAGAACACUAACACAUUCUACCCCUGAGAAGAACAGGCAGGAUGACUCACUGUCUAAAGCACUUACAAUGACUUACAGGACUUACCAGCAAUACACUGUUGCACUCUUCAAUUUCAUCAUUACUCUGUGGUACUCUAUGGUAUGCUAUGAUACUGUAAUUAGUGUGGUGCUCUUUAAUACACAGAAUUUCGCUGUGGUACUCUUCAGUACUCUGUGGUACUGUUUAAUACGGUCCUUAUUAUGGUUCUUUUCAAUACUCUAUUACUCUUAGUGAAAAGGAGUUUGGUCACAUGAUUACACUGACUGAAUAGUGAUAGAAGCAACCACACCAACAUGUACUGUGACUUUAACACUGUAGCUGGUUAAUGUCUGCUUUCACAGGGUGAACAGUGUUUCAUCUGAUCCUACUGGUGCCCUGUCACACAGACCUGAUGCACAGCAAACACUUCCAUCCAGUCCUUCAUGGAGAUCUGAUAUGCAAGUGUACUUUUUAAAACACGGUUGGACCAAAUGCUGCCAGAUAUAUGAGAAUGAUGAACAAAUGUGGAUAGUUUUUCUAAUUCAUGAAAUCAACAAUAUUCUGCUGAACGUGGUAUCAUAGUUAACAUUGCUUUACAAACCAUAUCUGACAGUUUGAUUCCUAUUCUGCUGUAUGUUCUACUACUUGACUGCCUGCCACUACAGAUGCAUGUAUGGAGUUUGCUCUGAUACCAAUCCUCUCUCACCAUUUCUUCACACACACACUUUACACAUUGUAUUUGUAGCAUCUGUGCACAACUUCUAUGCAGUCCUUACAAUUAAUACUCAGAGAAGCUUGUGAAGGUCUUAAUCACUAUGCCUUAAAAGUUGUUUAAAUGAUUUUGUAAUGCAUGAUUUUCAGUUGUACUUGUUCCGGUGUACUCUGGAUAGAUUUUUCUAAAUGAUUUGUUUCUAUUUAAUUGGUUUUGGGGGAGAUCUGGGGGCUUGUAUUUUCAUUCAGUGAUACAGUAGUUACCACUGUAAGUGAUAUUGCUGCAAUGUUCAUAAAUCUUCCAACUGUUCAGUUGUCUUGAAAUAUUUUGUAUAGAAUAUGGUGCUCUAGUGUUUCUUAUACCCUACACAUACAGUACUUACUGUUUAGUAUAUAUGAAGCACUAGACUACCAUACUGUAUGGCUUUGUUGUAACUGAGUACAGAAGGUGGUACAUGAUUACUGAUUAGUCAUUUUACGCUGUGAAUUUGUACUUCACAAUACCAAUCUGUUUUCUAUUGAAUUAAAUAUUGCAUGGCAAUCAAAGUCCAA
ensembl:lncRNA